UACAGAGGUGGCAAGCGUUGUUCGGAAUUACUGGGCGUAAAGGGCGCGUAGGCGGCCUUGUCAGUCAGACGUGAAAUCCCCAGGCUUAACCUGGGAACUGCGUCUGAUACUACAAGGCUUGAGUGCGGGAGAGGGAUGUGGAAUUCCAGGUGUAGCGGUGAAAUGCGUAGAUAUCUGGAGGAACACCGGUGGCGAAGGCGGUUCUCUGGGACGGUACUGACGCUGAGACGCGAAAGCGUGGGGAGCGAACAGG
rnacentral:rRNA from 1 species